AACAAUGGCAGAUAGAGCAAGUAUUUGAAAACCUUAACUAACAUUCAUAUUAAUUAUUUUUGUACUCUCUGGGCAUACAUAGGCAAUACCUCUUUUGGGAGUAGACACCAAACAUUAAUUUCACGUAGACGUUUUUCCUGCAAAGAAAUGUGCUGAAGGUGAUUAUCCUCCUACACUCAACUAUAAUACUAAUCAACAAAUGGAAUACAGGUUUUGUUGUCAGAGUUAUUCUGGGCUUAUAACAUUUGAAAAGCAUUCCUAGUACCACUUUGAAGAUUCCUCUCUUGUUGACCUACUGUGCAAAUUAAACCAAGAUGGCACAUCACAUUAAUGAGAAUUUGCCUCUAAUAAGGUAAUUGCUACUUCUACUUUGUCAUUGCCUCAUUAAUUUUGAUUCUGACAUCUGUUUCAUGAGUACAUAAUUCAUUGUACAAUAGAAGAUGAUUCAUACUUUCAAAUUUGUAAGUUAUUUUAGUGAU
rnacentral:lncRNA from 1 species